GGGCCGCUAGCUCAACUGGCAGAGCAACUGACUCUUAAUCAGUAGGUUGAAGGUUCGAUUCCUUCGCGGCUCACCA
rnacentral:tRNA from 1 species